GACGAACGCUGGCGGUGUGCUUCACACAUGCAAGUCGAACGAGGUAGCAAUACCUAGUGGCGGACGGGUGAGUAACGCGUGGGAAUCUGCCUUUAGAUGGGGGAUAACGGAUCGAAAGAUUCGCUAAUACCGCAUAUGACGAAAGUUGAAAGGAGUAAUCCGUCUAAAGAUGAGCCCGCGUCCGAUUAGCUAGUUGGUAGGGUAAAAGCCUACCAAGGCGACGAUCGGUAGCUGGUCUGAGAGGAUGAUCAGCCACAAUGGGACUGAGACACGGCCCAUACUCCUACGGGAGGCAGCAGUGGGGAAUUUUACGCAAUGGGGGAAACCCUGACGUAGCGACACCGCGUGAGCGAAGAAGCCCCUUGGGGUGUAAAGCUCUGUCAGCUGGAACGAAAAAAUGACGGUACCAGCAGAGGAAGCAUCGGCUAACUACGUG
rnacentral:rRNA from 1 species